rnacentral:rRNA from 1 species
AAUAGAUACCCCUGGUAGUCCACGCCGUAAACGAUGAGUGCUAAGUGUUGGGGGGGUUUCCGCCCCUCAGUGCUGCAGCUAACGCAUUAAGCACUCCGCCUGGGGAGUACGGUCGCAAGACUGAAACUCAAAGGAAUUGACGGGGGCCCGCACAAGCGGUGGAGCAUGUGGUUUAAUUCGAAGCAACGCGAAGAACCUUACCAGGCCUUGACAUCCCGGUGACCACUAUGGAGACAUAGUUUCCCCUUCGGGGGCAACGGUGACAGGUGGUGCAUGGUUGUCGUCAGCUCGUGUCGUGAGAUGUUGGGUUAAGUCCCGCAACGAGCGCAACCCUUAUUCUUAGUUGCCAUCAUUCAGUUGGGCACUCUAAGGAGACUGCCGGUGAUAAACCGGAGGAAGGUGGGGAUGACGUCAAAUCAUCAUGCCCCUUAUGACCUGGGCUACACACGUGCUACAAUGGACGGUACAAACGGUUGCCAACCCGCGAGGGGGAGCUAAUCCGGAUAAAACCGUUCUCAGUUCGGAUUGUAGGCUGCAACUCGCCUAC